GUUGUACUUCAGUUUCAGAACAUUUGCUUUGCACGCAAAAGGUCCCAGGUUCAGUCCCUGGCAUCUCCA